rnacentral:rRNA from 1 species
CCUACGGGAGGCAGCAGUGGGGAAUAUUGCACAAUGGGGGAAACCCUGAUGCAGCGACGCCGCGUGAGUGAAGAAGUAAUUCGUUAUGUAAAGCCCUAUCAGCAGGGAAGAAAAUGACGGUACCUGAGUAAGUAUCCCCGGUUACCUCCGUGCCAGCAGCCGCGGUAAUACGUAGGGGGCAAGCGUUAUCCGGAUUGACUGGGUGUAAAGGGAGCGUAGACGGCAGUGCAAGUCUGGAGGGAAAGGCGGGGGCUCAACCCCCGGACUGCUCUGGAAACUGGACGGCUGGAGUGCGGGAGAGGUAAGUGGAAUGCCUAGUGUAGCGGUGAAAUGCGUAGAUAUUAGGAAGAACACCAGUGGCGAAGGCAGCUUACUGGACUGUAACUGACGUUGAGGCUCGAAAGCGUGGGAAGCAAACAGGAUUAGAUACCCCAGUAGUC